AAGUGAUGUUUUUUUUUUUAUCAUUAUAGCUAGCAUUCAGUUAUCCUUCAAAUGCACACUUACACUGUUAUCUGAUUGUUUAUAAUAAAGAAUACCAUACCUGUAUGUCUUUUGGCUCAUUUUUCUUUACAAACCUCAUGGAAGGAUUCAUUGCCUAUGGAUCCUUAAGAUGAUCUUAAACCAUUCGAUUUUGAAAAUGGGAUAGUUUUGAAAUCCAACAUUCUNUUUCUAUUUAAAAGGAUAUGCAUUGGAGUUCCUGCUGUGGUGCAGAGGGUUAAGAAUCUGACUGCAGCAGCUCAGGUUGUAGAGGUACUGAUUCAGUCCCUGUCCCAGUGCUGAGGGUUAAAGGACCCAGCAGCAGCUAUAGCUCAGUUUCAGUCCCUGGCCUGGGAACUUCCAUGUGUCAUGGGUGUGGCCAUUAAAAAAAUGAAGAAUAAGCAUCAAAUACUAAGUAUUUGCAGUAAGUGUAUAGUAUGGCAAAUGGUAUAUUACAUACAGUAUAUAGCAUAUUACAGUAUAUAGGAGAGAAUGAACACUUUUAUUACUGCAAAUUGCUAUAUAUUAGAAAGUUGUAAAGGAGGCUACUGAGGAGAAACUAAGAUGAAGUCUGGGAGGAAUAUGAACAUAUCUAAAAAUGUAAAUUCUCUAUUCCCUCCGUUUAAAUUUCCUUUCAGCCUAUAAAUGAAGGGGAGAAAAUAUGUAAAGAUUUUGAAAAAACUUAAAUUUCUUAUUGAUCAAAGUUUCCCUUUUUUAUUCAUUUAUUUUUUAAAGAAAUGAAGCCCUUUAUUCAGAGGAAAUAUUUUGUGGAGUUCCAAAGCGUGAGCAGAUGAAGGACAGCGAUUCUAGUUCAGACAGAGGUGGGAACUCUGAAACCUGCAGGGGAAGCCGUAAGUUUAUGGAGAGCAGUGAUUGUGUCUCGUUUGUCUUUGCGUCUCCCUAGGUUCCUGACCCUGUUCUUGCAUCCAAAAUUUGGUAUUGGCACUUCAAUCAUUAACUAGUAUAGAUUUUUAAAUUUAUCAUUGCAUGCACAUAAAAUAUUGUCUUUAAACAUUGGGUGCAUCUAAGAGAAGGAAUGUUUUCAGCAUCCUAGAAGCUUCCGCAUGUUCACUUAUUAGGUGACUGAUGCAUCAGCUACUACUGGGCGGGUACCAAAGAUGCCGAUGACAACGCAGUUUCUGCUUAAAGAGGCUCAUCAGUCUGUGGAGGAAGAUGAACAAGUGAACCAACAAAGGUCAGUUUGCUUUCAGCUGUGACAGGCUGCUAGGGGACCAAGUAAUGACACCUCCAUCAGGCCCAGGGUGGGCCCCCAGGAAAGCUUCUGGGCAGAUCCACCUUCCCGCUCACUGGUUUCCUGAGCAAGUGUUCCAGAUAUUGCUAAACCAGCGCAGGUGCCUGAUCUCUGUGUUCUCAUCGUAAUUUGUGUUCAUCAGUUCCUGUACCAUACUGUUUUAUUUGGCAGCUUUUUAAGGGCAAGGAUUGUAUCUUUCUGUUUAGCAUUUUUCAGCUACUGUUUGUUUAGGAAGGCAUUUGGGAUUCAGAUUAAGAAUGCAGAAAAGGUAUUUGUCUCCAGUUCUCCCUUUUUAAAUUCAGUAAUUAUUUAAUUUCUUCUCUUCAAAAUAAAAAUCAUUGUGAGCCUCCAGUUGCAUGUCCAGUGCCCAUGCUGCAGCCAGUGGGGAUGAGGGAAGCAUGCUUAUUAUGACUUUGAUUGCAAAUAUUCAGCCGCAUAGCAGUGGCAAGGAAAGGUAGCUUUGACAGUUAAACUGUUAAAUUUGUUUUUAUGCUAAGCAGCUAAUUUAUUUUCAGAAUGUGAAUUUGAGUAAAGACAAGAAGCACAGGAAUUCCAGUGUAACACCAAGGUAACAAGGAGUGUAAAAAAGACACCGAUUCGGAAGUUUACCCUUCAUGGUCAUUGAUGGUUCCAUUAUUUGCCUGUGUCUGAUAAAAAUAUUAGGUAAGGCCUCAGAAUUUCUCCAGUAAUCUGAAAAAUGAUGUUAAAUGGAGUAAAUAUAAUGAAAAUUAUAUUCAGGUUUUUUUUUAAGCCCCAAAUUACUCACACCUGCACUAUAUUAUUUGGAGAUCAUGCUCGCAAGUGACAGGCUAAAUUCUCUUCUUACCUCAUCAUUUAGAAAGAAAAAAACCUAAACAUUCUAAAAAUAACCCACUGAUGUUUAAUGAAGAUGUCUUUGAAGAGAAGCUCAGGAGUAGGGGUCAGAAGACUUUUUCUGUCAUGGGCCAGAUAGUAAAUAUUUUCAGCUUUGCAGGCCAUGUGGCCUUUCUUUCUUUCAUUCUUUUUUUUUUUUUAAUUUUAUAUAGACUUUUGGCAAAAUCGCCUUUAUUUUUUUAUGAUUUUUAUUUUUUCCGUUAUAGUUGAUUUUUUCAAUUUCUACUAUACAGCAAAGUGACCCAGUCACACACACACACACAUAUAUAUAUAUAUGUAUAUAUUCUUUUUCUCACAUUAUCCUCCAUCAUGUUCCAUCACAAGUGACUGGAUAUGGCCUUUCUGACUGUUGUAACUGCUCAACUCUGCACUGCAGUACAAAAGCCGCCAUGAACAAUAUGUAAGUGGAUGGGCAUGGCUGUGUUCCAAGUGAAAUAUUAUAAACUGAAAUUUGAAUUUUAGAUAAUUUUCACAUGUCACAAGAUGUUUCUUUUUCUUUUUUUUCCCCCAACCAUUUAAAAUUGUAAGUACUAUUCUUAGCCUGUGGCAGUACAGAAACAAGCUGUGGGUUGGAUUUGGCCUGGGGCCGGGUGUCCUAGUUUGCCAAGUCCUGCUCUGGAGGAUGAGAGGCCAUCUUGAAUGUUCCGUCCAUAGCCACACUCCCAUCUGAAUGCAGCCUCAGAGACACUCCAAGCCGGUCCACCAGAAGCCCUCAGCGAAGCUCAGCCAACCCUUAACAUGGU
ensembl:lncRNA